AAAUGGUAACUGGUGGCAGCAGAAGAGGUAGACCAAGCAAUAAUAAAGGAUGAAAAAGUAGGCAGAGGGGAGGGGAAUAGGGGAGGCAACAGAGCAGAGAUGACUGGAUGGCCCAGACUCAGACUGGUGGACUACCAGUCUACCAUGGUAUCCUGAGUGACUGCACAGGCCAAUGAUUUGACUGCUAAGAGGGUUUCCUGUUCUUAUUUCCCUUUGGUACUUUAAAUAAGUCCUCAUUAACUGAGGCAACUUGAGCAUGGAAACUGAAAGAGCCAAACAUUCACAUUAGAUGAUGCUGGGCUACAUACAUUUACUUUACAGAGCUACAGACAGGUAGGGAAGAUAAGUACUGAGCAGGGAACAUGUCAUUCCUUUUCUUGUUCUAUAUCUAGGCAAGCUCUGGAGAAUCUGAGUCAGUGAGGAACACCCUGGAGAAUCUGAAAAAGUCUGCAAUGCUGAGAUGUGAUAGGCUUUAACACCCGACAAAGACCUAGGUAUGAAGUUUGACUCAUAGACCUUCAAGACACACUGGAACCUUUUUAAAAGCAAAGCUUGGGGCGACUCAAGGACUGUGUUAAGAUGUGGGAAAGUGGUUAGGUCAGACUGCUGACACUGGCUUCUCCUGGCUACAUAGACCCCUGGCAAUCAAAUUGCCAAGACGGGAGAGGGCAGUAGAACAGAGCAAUGUUGCCUAUUUCAAGUCUGGAGGGAAGUAAAACAGGCUUGAUGCUGGACAUGUGUUGCAUGAAUUGAUACAUCUUCAGAUUAGGUUCUUUUGAGAGAUGAGGUGACCUAAAUCACCAUGCACACUUGGGGAGGCUGUCACCUUCUCAGGGCCUUGGCUUUCUCCACAGUGAAGAGGGUCAAGUUUGGGCAAAGUUGGUCUCCAAACUCACAGCUGUAAUAGUCGGUGAGUUCACAGUGAAAAAUGUACCAAGUAGGCACCUUGGAUUACUUUAUCCAGGCUGAUGAUCUCCAGAGAGGAGAAUUCCAGAAAAAAUUCUCACUGGGCAGGGAUUACAGGUGAAAAUGAACUCCCCAGAAACAUGUCUUCAGCCAUGUCUUUCCAGGAUCCUCCUUCGAUGGUGUUAAACCCACUAGGUCCUCACUUUUACACCUAUAUAGUACCUCCUAUUUCCACACUCUUUUCUUCUCUCCAUUUUCUCAAACAACGCUAUCAGAUGAGGGAGAGCUUUCAUGGAAGGAAGACCCUUGUCCGAGGGCUCAGAUACCUGGAGGUGGCAGUUUGGUUGUGGCUACAAAUGGGGCUGACGAUGCUGGAGAUUCUCCAGGCAAGGAGCUUUCAACUAGGUUCCACCCCCUCAUUAAUAGGCAGCCUGGGAUUCGUUUCUACUCUGCCACUGCCGCUCUC
rnacentral:lncRNA from 1 species